AUUGAACGCUGGCGGCAUGCCUUACACAUGCAAGUCGAACGGCAGCACGGACUUCGGUCUGGUGGCGAGUGGCGAACGGGUGAGUAAUGUAUCGGAACGUACCUUUCAGUGGGGGGAUAACGUAGCGAAAGUUACGCUAAUACCGCAUAUUCUGUGAGCAGGAAAGCAGGGGAUCGCAAGACCUUGCGCUGAUUGAGCGGCCGAUAUCAGAUUAGCUAGUUGGUGGGGUAAAAGCCUACCAAGGCGACGAUCUGUAGCGGGUCUGAGAGGAUGAUCCGCCACACUGGAACUGAGACACGGUCCAGACUCCUACGGGAGGCAGCAGUGGGGAAUUUUGGACAAUGGGGGCAACCCUGAUCCAGCCAUGCCGCGUGAGUGAAGAAGGCCUUCGGGUUGUUAAAGGACGUCUUUCUAGCCGGGAAGAAAGUCGCAUAGGCUAAUACCCU
rnacentral:rRNA from 1 species